rnacentral:rRNA from 1 species
CGCGUAGGCGGUGCGGUAAGUCACCUGUGAAAUCUCCGGGCUUAACUCGGAGCCUGCAGGCGAAACUGCCGUGCUGGAGUAUGGGAGAGGUGCGUGGAAUUCCUGGUGUAGCGGUGAAAUGCGUAGAUAUCGGGAGGAACACCUGUGGCGAAAGCGGCGCACUGGACCAUAACUGACGCUGAGGCGCGAAAGCUAGGGGAGCAAACAGGAUUAGAUACCCUGGUAGUCCUAGCCCUAAACGAUGGAUGCUUGGUGUGAUCGGUACCCAAUCCGAUUGUGCCGAAGCUAACGCGAUAAGCAUCCCGCCUGGGGAGUACGGCCGCAAGGCUGAA